UUCAUUAUGCCUCCGAUUCUGAAUCCAUUUUCACUAAAUUUGACGGAGACACUUUAAUCUUUUACACCCAGUAACAUUGCUAUAGACUGCAUGAUAUCACUUCGAGAAGAAUUAUAUAAAAAAUAUAUAUAUCUAAGCCGAGUUCCACCAAAUCGGGUUAAGGAUAUACAUAGGAGCUACAUCAAAAUCUUAGCCGAAAAUUUAGCAAAGAUCAUUUGGACGAUAUUGGAUAUUUGGUGCACAAUUAACCCGAAAUCGGUUGAAGAUAUAUAUGGGACCUAUAUACAAAUCUGAACCAAUCUUGAUCUAAUUUGCAGAGGUUUUUCUGGACUGUAUCUGAUAUCUGGUACUAAAUAUCAUUCUUGUGGGGCGCAUAUUACGAAUGUGGGGGACUUAAAACCCCAAAUCGGAUGAAACAUAUAUAUGGGAGCUAUAGCUAUAUCUGAUCCAGAUUUGAUCAAAAUUGAUGUACUUGCUUCUAGACUGAAUUCGGUCGGAUGUACCAAAAAUCAGCACUGAAAUGAAUAGAGAAUGGGAGAAAUGUUGCAAUGAAUCUGCGUGCUACAUGAUGGCAGCUAGAAGGGAGUUUUGAAACUUCUAUAAAAUCUAAGAGAAUUUCUGAAUACGCGAAACUAGAAACAUAAUGUUGCAGGAUAUUUAAAGCUCUCUGAACCUACUUCUAAAAAUUUAAAAGAAUUCAAUACCAACAAAGUAAUUAAUUACUAAAAAAAUUGAGGAUUGGGACCGUAACGGUGGGAAGAGAUCUGUCCACAUGUUCGUGAUUUCAGAAUAAUUCAUUGCUUGAACUGUAACAGAACUUCUACCGAUAAGAGACAAACUGUCGAAAG